UUUUUUACUAUCAUUAACUAUUUACAUUUGAUUUACAAAUGAUAAAGCAGUAACAGACAUUGCUGUGUGAAUGAACAGUUUGAACAAUGAAUGAAUGGAUACA